rnacentral:rRNA from 1 species
GACGAACGCUGGCGGCGUGCCUAAUACAUGCAAGUCGAGCGAAUCUGAGGGAGCUUGCUCCCAAAGGUUAGCGGCGGACGGGUGAGUAACACGUGGGCAACCUGCCUAUAAGACUGGGAUAACUUCGGGAAACCGGAGCUAAUACCGGAUAAUUCUUUUCUACUCAUGUAGGAAAGCUGAAAGAUGGUUUCGGCUAUCACUUAUAGAUGGGCCCGCGGCGCAUUAGCUAGUUGGUGAGGUAACGGCUCACCAAGGCGACGAUGCGUAGCCGACCUGAGAGGGUGAUCGGCCACACUGGGGCUGAGACACGGCCCAGACUCCUACGGGAGGCAGCAGUAGGGAAUCUUCCGAAAUGGACGAAAGUCUGACGGAGCAACGCCGCGUGAGUGAUGAAGGUUUUCGGAUCGUAAAACUCUGUUGUUAGGGAAGAACAAGUACUAGAGUAACUGCUAGUACCUUGACGGUACCUAACCAGAAAGCCACGGCUAACUACGUGCCAGCCGCCGCCGUAAUAC